rnacentral:rRNA from 1 species
UAGGGAAUCUUCCGCAAUGGACGCAAGUCUGACGGAGCAACGCCGCGUGAGUGAAGAAGGAUUUCGGUUCGUAAAACUCUGUUGUUAGAGAAGAACAGCGCAUAGAGUAACUGUUAUGCGUGUGACGGUAUCUAACCAGAAAGCCACGGCUAACUACGUGCCAGCAGCCGCGGUAAUACGUAGGUGGCAAGCGUUGUCCGGAUUUAUUGGGCGUAAAGUGAGCGCAGGCGGUCAAUUAAGUCUGAUGUGAAAGCCCCCGGCUCAACCGGGGAGGGUCAUUGGAAACUGGUUGACUUGAGUGCAGAAGAGGAGAGUGGAAUUCCAUGUGUAGCGGUGAAAUGCGUAGAUAUAUGGAGGAACACCAGUGGCGAAGGCGACUCUCUGGUCUGUAACUGACGCUGAGGCUCGAAAGCGUGGGUAGCAAACAGG